AUGGCCAUAAUACUCUGAACGUGCCCAAUCGCAUCUGAUCUUGGAAGCUAAGCAGGGUCGGGCCUUGUUAAUACUUAGAUGGGAGAAAACACAGAUGAAAACCUUC
rnacentral:rRNA from 1 species